GACGGAAGGUGCAAGCGUUGCUCGGAAUCACUGGGCGUAAAGGGUGCGUAGGCGGCCCUGUAAGUCAGUGCUGAAAUAUCCCAGCUUAACUGGGAGGGUGGCAUUGAUACUGCGGGGCUAGAGUACAGAUGAGGUAGGCGGAAUUGACGGUGUAGCGGUGAAAUGCUUAGAUAUCGUCAAGAACACCUAUAGCGAAGGCAGCUUACUAGGCUGUAACUGACGCUGAGGCACGAAAGUGUGGGGAUCAAACAGG
rnacentral:rRNA from 1 species